AUACGGAGGACGCGAGCGUUAUCCGGAUUCAUUGGGUUUAAAGGGUGCGCAGGCGGCCGUGCAAGUCAGCGGUGAAAGCCCGGGGCUCAACCCCGGAAGUGCCGUUGAUACUGCGUGGCUGGAAUGCGGUCGAGGCGGGCGGAACGGGGCGUGUAGCGGGGAAAUGCGUAGAUAUGCCACAGAAAGCGGAUAGCGGGGGCAGCUCGCCAGGCCUGCAUUGACGCUCGGGCACGAAAGCGUGGGGAUCGAACAGGAUUAGAUACCCUGGUAGUCCACGCCGUAAACGAUGGGCGCUCGUCGUCGGCGGCAGACAGUCGGCGGCCAAGCGAAAGCGAUAAGCGCCCCACCUGGGGAGUACGGUCGCAAGGCUGAAACUCAAAUGAAUUGACGGGG
rnacentral:rRNA from 1 species